rnacentral:lncRNA from 1 species
AGGUAAUCAACUUGCUAAAAAAAUCUGACAACCGUUAUUUACUCACGGUAAACGAAGUAAAAACAAGAUCAGGUUCAGCCAUAAAGCUAUUUAAAGCAUAGAAAGUUUUUUCACUGCGCUACUUUUUCAGAUGACAAUACAGUCCGGCGUAAUAGACGUACACUAAUUUUAAUUUACUGACGGACCUGCAAUUAUAAGGAGGAUAUGUUUCUAGUACAAAAACCAAAGAGAUAUAGUUUAAGGCGUGUUAGAUGUAUUUUUACAAUGAUUUAUUUUACGGAAUAUUUUAUUUUGUCAAAAGUUUAGACCAACCAAUUCCUGCAAAGGAGUAGGUUCAGUAAGACCCCUUUUUGGCCC